rnacentral:rRNA from 1 species
GUGGGGAAUUUUGGACAAUGGGCGCAAGCCUGAUCCAGCAAUGCCGCGUGCAGGAAGAAGGCCUUCGGGUUGUAAACUGCUUUUGUACGGAACGAAACGGUCCGGGUUAAUACCCUGGGCUAAUGACGGUACCGUAAGAAUAAGCACCGGCUAACUACGUGCCAGCAGCCGCGGUAAUACGUAGGGUGCAAGCGUUAAUCGGAAUUACUGGGCGUAAAGCGUGCGCAGGCGGUUUUGUAAGACAGGCGUGGAAUCCCCGGGCUCAACCUGGGAAUUGCGCUUGUGACUGCAAGGCUGGAGUGCGGCAGAGGGGGAUGGAAUUCCGCGUGUAGCAGUGAAAUGCGUAGAUAUGCGGAGGAACACCGAUGGCGAAGGCAAUCCCCUGGGCCUGCACUGACGCUCAUGCACGAAAGCGUGGGGAGCAAACAGGAUUAGAAACCCUUGUAGUCC